AGGGAGCGAGCGUUGUCCGGACUUACUGGGUGUAAAGGGUGCGUAGGCGGCUGUGCAAGUCAGAAGUGAAAUCCAUGGGCUUAACCCGUGAACUGCUUUUGAAACUGCACGGCUUGAGUGAAGUAGAGGUAGGCGGAAUUCCCGGUGUAGCGGUGAAAUGCGUAGAGAUCGUGAAGAACACCAGUGGCGAAGGCGGCCUACUGGGCUUUAACUGACGCUGAAGCACGAAAGCGUGGGUAGCAA
rnacentral:rRNA from 1 species